GAACUUGAACUUCAUGUACUAGUUCCCUGCGUUCAAGAAAUGUGUUUCUCUCUCAACAGGUUCUUUGCUCUGGAGUAAUAAGUACAGGGCUGUGAGCAGGGACACACUCAUGUAGGUCUGAGGAAUCACUGCAGUCUGGGUGCAUGAAGAUGGCCUCUACCCAGACUGAAGGCAGAGCAAGAUGCACAGCCCUGACCCAGCAACAUGUACAGCCCAACCAAAGCACAUGAAGUUCAUAUAAAGGAGCUACUUUGCCAUUACCUGCUGUGUAAGUCUUGACUUCAAGUUGUGCAUGUGAUCCCCAAUAGGAGUGAAUUAACCAAGGUAAAUAUGUUAUUUAUAAAUGAUCCAUAAAUAGUCUCUGGUUAGCUCUUG
rnacentral:lncRNA from 1 species